rnacentral:piRNA from 1 species
UAGCUUACACUGCAAGUUUAUACGUGCUU